rnacentral:pre_miRNA from 10 species
GCUCACAUCCUUGUCUUGUUUCUGAUCUUAGGAAGUAGUAUUUUUUGUGAAGUCUGAAUUCCUUCAGAUGUUUGGAAGUGUCUUUAGCGUUGAAGGCUU